ACAUGGGCCUGCCAUCAUUCAGUUUGAUCUGGACUGUGUGUUUACAGGCAGUAGCAACAGCACGACUUUAGCUCACCUAAAUGUAUUUGCAAAGAGCCACAAAAUACACCUGAAUGGAUUUUGACAAAUAACACUGGAGUCCUCUUACAUUUGGGAACUUUACAGGUCUACUGAUGAAACAACCAUGAAAAGACAAAGGGAUGGAAGUAGAAAGCACAGUAGGAAAGAGAGGGAAGACGGUGCAUCAUCUUUAGAAGAAAACUGAGAACAUCAGAUCUCCGAUACAUAGAGAAGGCAUCCUCAACCGUGGAGGGGUUCGAGAGAAAAUGACUCGCAUCCCUCUAAG